rnacentral:rRNA from 2 species
UCUGGUAAUGAUGGCAGAGAGGUCACACCCGUUCCCAUACCGAACACGGAAGUUAAGCUCUCUAGC